GACAGAGGGUGCAAACGUUGUUCGGAAUUACUGGGCGUAAAGCGCGUGUAGGCGGCUAAGUAAGUCGGGCGUGAAAUCCCACGGCUCAACCGUGGAAGUGCACUCGAAACUGCAUAGCUAGAGUCCUGGAGAGGAAGGUGGAAUGCUUGGUGUAGAGGUGAAAUUCGUAGAUAUCAAGCGGAACACCGGUGGCGAAGGCGGCCUUCUGGACAGUGACGUGACGCUGAGACGGCGAAAGCGUGGGGAGCAAACAGGG
rnacentral:rRNA from 1 species